UGUCUGCGCCUUUCGUAGUG
rnacentral:misc_RNA from 1 species